rnacentral:rRNA from 1 species
GCAUAUCAAUAAGCGGAGGAAAAGAAACCAACAGGGAUUGCCCUAGUAACGGCGAGUGAAGCGGCAACAGCUCAAAUUUGAAAGCUGGCCUUCGGGUCCGCAUUGUAAUUUGUAGAGGAUGCUUUGGGGCAGCCGCCUGUCUAAGUCCCUUGGAACAGGGCGUCAUAGAGGGUGAGAAUCCCGUAUGUGACAGGACGUGGCACCCUAUGUAAAGCUCCUUCGACGAGUCGAGUUGUUUGGGAAUGCAGCUCUAAAUGGGAGGUAAAUUUCUUCUAAAGCUAAAUACCGGCGAGAGACCGAUAGCGCACAAGUAGAGUGAUCGAAAGAUGAAAAGCACUUUGGAAAGAGAGUUAAAAAGCACGUGAAAUUGUUGAAAGGGAAGCGCUUGCAAUCAGACUUGCCCCCGACUGUUCAGCCGGUCUUCUGACCGGUCCACUCAGUCGGGGACAGGCCAGCAUCAGUUUCGGCGGCCGGACAAAGGCCUGGGGAAUGUGGCUCUGCCUUCGGGGAGAGUGUUAUAGCCCCGGGUGUAAUACGGCCAGCCGGGACUGAGGUCCGCGCUUCGGCUAGGAUGCUGGCGUAAUGGUUGUAAGCGACCCGUCUUGAAACACGGACCAAGGAGUCUAACAUCUAUGCGAGUGUUCGGGUGUCAAACCCCUGCGCGUAAUGAAAGUGAACGGAGGUGGGAACCGCAAGGUGCACCAUCGACCGAUCCUGAUGUCUUCGGAUGGAUUUGAGUAAGAGCAUAGCUGUUGGGACCCGAAAGAUGGUGAACUAUGCCUGAAUAGGGUGAAGCCAGAGGAAACUCUGGUGGAGGCUCGCAGCGGUUCUGACGUGCAAAUCGAUCGUCAAAUUUGGGUAUAGGGGCGAAAGACUAAUCGAACCAUCUAGGAGCUGGUUCCUGCCGAAGUU